AUUGAACGCUGGCGGCAGGCCUAACACAUGCAAGUCGAGCGGAUGAAGGGAGCUUGCUCCUGGAUUCAGCGGCGGACGGGUGAGUAAUGCCUAGGAAUCUGCCUGGUAGUGGGGGAUAACGUCCGGAAACGGGCGCUAAUACCGCAUACGUCCUGAGGGAGAAAGUGGGGGAUCUUCGGACCCCACGCUAUCAGAUGAGCCUAGGUCGGAUUAGCUAGUUGGUGGGGUAAAGGCCUACCAAGGCGACGAUCCGUAACUGGUCUGAGAGGAUGAUCAGUCACACUGGAACUGAGACACGGUCCAGACUCCUACGGGAGGCAGCAGUGGGGAAUAUUGGACAAUGGGCGAAAGCCUGAUCCAGCCAUGCCGCGUGUGUGAAGAAGGUCUUCGGAUUGUAAAGCACUUUAAGUUGGGAGGAAGGGCAGUAAGUUAAUACCUUGCUGUUUUGACGUGACCAACAGAAUAAGCACCGGCUAACUUCGU
rnacentral:rRNA from 1 species